rnacentral:tRNA from 1 species
GAGGAUAUAGCCCAGUGGCAGAGUGUGUGCUUAGCAUGCACAAGAUCCUGGCUUCAAUCCCCAGUGCUUCCA